UUCCAGCUCCAAUAGCGUAUAUUAAAGUUGUUGCAGUUAAAAAGCUCGUAGUUGAAUUUCGGGGUUAGUAGGCUGGUCAUGCCUCCGGUAUGUACUGGUCUCACUGAUUCCUCCUUCCUGAUGAACCGUAAUGCCAUUAAUUUGGUGUUGCGGGGAAUCUGGACUGUUACUUUGAAAAAAUUAGAGUGUUUAAAGCAGGCUAACGCUUGAAUACAUUAGCAUGGAAUAAUGAAAUAGGACGUUCGAUCCUAUUUUGUUGGUUUCUAGGAUUGACGUAAUGAUUAAUAGGGAUAGUUGGGGGCAUUAGUAUUCAAUUGUCAGAGGUGAAAUUCUUGGAUUUAUUGAAGACUAACUACUGCGAAAGCAUUUGCCAAGGAUGUUUUCAUUAAUCAAGAACGAAAGUUAGGGGAUCGAAGACGAUCAGAUACCGUCGUAGUCUUAACCAUAAACUAUGCCGACUAGGGAUCGG
rnacentral:rRNA from 1 species